CUUCACACCUUGACAUUGGGUCCACAAGCUUCAGUAGGUGUUGUGCUCUGAGCAUAACACCUUCAGCUUCCAAGUCGAGAUAUUGAAGCAGGACCUGUGGCAAGUGACUUCCUGAACAUACUGAUCCUACUCCCACAUUUCAUCUCAAAAGUAGAAUGAAGAGACAAGAAGUUGGGGACUGGAAAGAGCAGCAAUAGGAACUGCAGGGGAUUCAUAGAUCCAGCCAAGAACUUCUGAGACGUACAGAAAAAAGUUGAGAUCCAAUGAGGCGGAGUUGUUGUCUGCUGUCCUGGCUUUAAAUGUGCAGAAAACAACUUUUAUAUAAGUCCCGCACUGCAUACUAAUAAACUGCAAG